CAGCACUCUCUCGUUGGCGAGCGGUGAACCGGACUCUCGAGAGCCCAUUUAAUUUUCGUCGUCGCUGUUGCGUCGUCGCGCAAAUUACCCGGAACUAAUGCAAAAUCGAUGCUUAUACGCGGCGGGAUCUCUCGGAAUUUGCGGAACAGAGAACCGCAAAUCAAUCGCCGUGUGUAACGCGCUGGCAAUACUGUGAGAUAAUAUCGAGAGGGGGUUGCGCAACCCUCCAGUGCCGUUAACUCUCGACGCUGUUCGCGCCCUCGUUAACGCUCCAGCUGUCUUCCUCUCUGUCUCUCCUUCUUUCUCUCUCUCUCUCCCUCUCUCUCUUCCUUUCUCGCAUACUUUCUAUGUAGUCGUUCAUGUACCCAUUCUCCGGCGAUUGACGCAGUCGCUUUCCACGCGGAAAAGUGAUACUGCAACACAACAAUCGCGCAUUUUUCGAAGUUGAAGGCACGAAAAAUUUUCUCGCGAGGAGAUACGAAAAAAAGUGAAGAAAAAGAUUUUCCCUUUUGCGAGAGAGAUAUACUCGAAGAGUUUCCUAUAUCUGCAACAUAGGUGAGAAGAAAGGGAAGAGAUAAGGAAUCACGCUCGUGCCUCGGGCGGGAGAUGAAGGUGCCUCGAGACAAGUCGGAAGAUUCGAGCGCGAGAGGCGGGCGCGCGCCUUCGUAGAGCGCCUCCUGGUGUUGACGGUGCGGACGGCGCGGUGCGUGCGCUCGGUGUCGGUGCUUGUCUUCGGCGCGCGGCGCGACGCAGAAGUCGCAGGAGGAUGCUGCUGUUGACGCUGGUUCGGAGGGAGCAGCCAGGCUGGACGAGCAACAACGACGAAGCGCGAGCGAGCGGCUGAGAGAGGAGAUCGGAGCAGUCGCCGUCAUCUUUCUCGCGUGGCGAGUCCUGCGCGCGCGCGCACGCGAUUAAGGACACCCGAUUCGUGCUCCGGACAAUCGGCGCGCUUCUCCUGGGCGGUGAAUGAGAUGCCUUCGCGGGCGAUCCUCGCGCUGUCGCGACCCGGUUGAAUGUGACUGAGACCGACCAGCGGCUUCGACGUUCGCCUUCGUGAUCCUCGAGGACACGUCGAGCGUACGUCCUUAAGAUAUAUAUAACCGCGAGGUGUAUCCAGAGCGCGACGACGACGACGACGGUGACAGUCGCCCAGGUACCAGCAACGGCGACUGAGACACGGUGAUCCAGGUGUUCCUAAAUGCUUGAAACCUCGAUGAAGCUUAUGUCGUCGACGUCGGAAUCGUCACCGUCGGAGUCGUCGUCGUGGUUGCUAUCGUCGCCGCCACCGUCGGAGUCAUCGUCGUCGUCGUCGUCGUCGUCGUCCUCGACGUCGUCAUCAUCGUCAUCGUCAUCGUCAUCGUCAUCGUCAUCGUCAUCAUUAUCAUCAUCAUCAUCAUCAUUGACAUCGCUGUCGUCAUCGUCAUCCUCGUGGUCAACACCCGCAACGUGCUCCUUAACGUCGCUAUUGCCGUUCACCACGUUAUUCGUCGACAUUUUGCCUUUACAUUUAUAAGAAAGAGUCAGUGCUGGACAGUGUGGAUUUGUGAUAACAAGGAAACAGGAUGCAGCCGAGCAAUAAGAAUAUAGUCAACACGAUGUAUACAAAAGCUGUGGAGGUGUCCCAGCAGCUGCAGGAUGGAGAGAAGUUUGUCAAGUGGGAUGAGGAUUCUGGAAUUGCAACGCCGGUGACUUUGAAAGUGGAUAAAUAUGGUUUUUACUUACACUGGGUGGAUCAAAAUAAUGAAAUGGAUAUGCUGGACAUAGCAAUUAUAAGAGAUACGCGAACAGGAAAAUAUGCAAAAAUACCAAAGGACUCAAAAUUGCAAUCCUUUGUAACAAUGGGUUCUCAAGAUUCCUUGGAAGACAAAACUGUAACAAUCUGUUAUGGCUCUGACUUUGUCAAUGUGAAUUUUAUUAAUUUUUGCACAACACGUGCAGAAAUAGCGCAACAUUGGACAGAACAGCUUUUUCAACUGGCAUACAAUUUGAUUCAACUAAACACUAGCACAACUAUGUUUUUACUCAAAGCGCACACCAAAUUGACACUUACUGUUGAUAAAUUGGAAAAAAUACCAGUAAAGAAUAUAAUAAAAAUGUUUACUCAAAACAAAGAGGAUCGCAAGCGUGUUGAAAAAGCACUCGAUAUUUCUGGUUUUCCAUCUGGCAAAAGCGACGUUGUGCCAUUGUCAAAAUUUCAAUUCGAAGAUUUCUUCAACUUUUACAAGUCUCUCACUCAGAGAUCAGAUGUAGAAAAAGUAUUUGAAGGGAUUGUUGGCAGUAGCAAACGCAGAUUGAUGUCCGUUUCGCAAUUCGUGGAUUUUUUGAACAAGACGCAAAGAGAUCCACGUCUCAAUGAGAUACUAUAUCCAUAUGCAAAUGAGGCGAGGGCAAAGGAUAUCAUAAAUCAGUAUGAACCCAACAAAUGUAAUGCAAAUAAAGGCCAACUCAGUUUUGAUGGUUUCCUGAGGUACCUCAUGAGUGAGGACAAUCCGAUUGUUGCCAUCUCUAAAUUUGAAUUGUCCGACGAUAUGGAUCAAUCGCUUGCGCAUUAUUUCAUAAAUUCUAGUCACAACACAUACUUGACGGGGCAUCAACUCACUGGAAAGAGCUCUGUAGAAAUUUAUCGUCAAUGUCUUUUAGCCGGUUGCCGAUGCGUCGAAUUAGACUUUUGGAAUGGCAAGGUCGACGAACCUGUUAUCGUUCACGGAUAUACAUUUGUACCUGAAAUAUGUGCCCGAGAUGUAAUAGAGGCAAUUGCUGAGAGCGCUUUUAAAACUUCUGAAUAUCCGGUCGUUCUCAGUUUCGAAAACCAUUGUAAUCCAAGGCAGCAAGCCAAAAUCGCACAGUACUGCAGAGAACUCUUCGGGGAAAUGUUACUUGAUGCACCACUCGAAUCGCACAAGUUAGAGCCAGGUCAAGAGCUCCCACCGCCAUCGUUAUUAAAGCGCAAAAUAAUAAUAAAAAAUAAGAAAAAGCAUCACCAUCAUCAUAAAAAGCAUCAGAAGAAGCAAUCUACUGCAUUAUAUACUGCUAAAGGUACCCCAGAGAAUGAAACAAACGGAGCAGUAAAUCCAUCCGCUGCAGGAGAAAACGGCCCACCGCCAGAUAUAAUACCUCAAAAUGAAAUGGCUGAUGGUGUUGCACCUGGAAAUGAACAGCAAAUUGGGAAUGGCGAUAUUCCUCAUCCUCCCAUGUUGCAACAAAGACAGGGUAGUAAAGAUAGUGCUCAGGAUGAUGAAGACGACGAAGAUGAAUCAAGUUCAGACGAGGAUGAAUCUAAUGUGGAACUGAGAAUGGGUGACAAAGGAUCUGCGCCAGAUAAGGUCGCGGCCAAAGAGACGGAAGCGGGUGCAGAAAUUUCUGCUUUAGUUAAUUACGUGCAGCCUGUACACUUCAACAGUUUCGAAUCGGCUGAAAAAAAGAAUCGUAUGUACGAAAUGUCAUCUUUCGACGAGAAACAAGCUACGACUCUCUUGAAGGAGAGACCACUAGAAUUUGUAAAUUACAACAAACACCAAUUAUCCAGAGUUUAUCCAGCAGGAACGCGAUUCGAUUCUAGUAAUUUCAUGCCGCAAGUAUUUUGGAAUGCAGGCUGUCAGCUAGUGGCAUUAAAUUAUCAAACGCUCGAUCUGGCGAUGCAAUUAAAUUUGGGGAUAUUUGAAUACAAUCAACGUUGCGGUUACCUGUUGAAACCAGAAUUUAUGAGAAGAAAAGAUCGGCGAUUAGAUCCCUUUGCAGAAUCUACCGUUGAUGGUAUUAUUGCAGGCACCGUUCACAUUCACGUGAUAUCCGCACAAUUUUUAACAGAUAAAAGAGUAGGCACUUAUGUAGAAGUGGAUAUGUACGGUUUACCGGCAGAUACCGUAAGAAAGAAAUUCCGUACAAAAAUCGUGCCGAAUAACGGUAUUAAUCCCGUAUAUGAUGAGGAACCAUUUGUAUUCAAAAAGGUAGUCUUGCCAGAACUUGCUUCGAUAAGAAUUGCCGCAUAUGAAGAUUCCGGACGUUUAAUCGGUCACAGGGUACUACCCGUAGUUGGAUUAUGUCCAGGAUAUAGACACGUUGCACUAAGAACUGAGUGCGGGCAACCAUUACCAUUAGCGAGUCUGUUUUUACAUGUUAUUGUAAAAGAUUAUGUUCCUGAUGGUUUGAGUGAGCUUGCCGAAGCUUUAGCAAAUCCUAUCAAAUAUCAGAGCGAAGUGGAGAAGAGAGAGAAUCAAUUAUUGGUUCUCACAGAUUGUUUGGAAGCUCCGGAAGAAAUUGAAGAUAAGAGUAAAAUUAGCGAUGCUCCUAGUUCUGCUAAGCCAGCUGAGGAAGUUGUAAAGACUAAACGAAUGCAGUCCAUAGGUGAAUUACCAAGUCUUCUACCUCCUUCCAGUUUACAUAGUAGACCAUCUAUUGGUGGUUUAGGUAGUUCAGAUACAGUGGAUGUAGAAGACGAUACUCCAAGUCCUGCAGUUCAAGCAGUUGAUACAUCCAUAAAUAAAAGUCCAGUCAAUGCUAGCAAUAUAAGUGAAGAAAUAAUGGCCGAAAGUUUGGAGAAACUUAUGGAAAAUAAGCUAGUCAGAGAGAAGAAGAUGGAACUCGAAAAGAAACUUGAAUCUCUGAGGAAAAAGCAUGAAAAAGAAAAAAUGCGAAUGCAGUCGCAAAAAGGCUCGCUUGAUGGCGAGAAGCAUAGAUCGAAAUUCUAUAGCAAUAAGUUGGUGAAGCGGCUAUCGAGCAAAAAUAUUAGCUUUUCGAGUGACGUGGGUUUAAGCACUUUAGCUAUGGCUGAGUCUUCCGAAUAUCCAGAAAAUACAGAAAAUCGUGACGGAAAUGACGGGGCGUCCAGAGGUUUGCCCAGAAGUCAAAGUGAACGAUUUUUAGCCAUAUGUAAGGUGCACGUUCAACAAGAACGUGAACUUCAAGAAAAAUAUUACGAGAAUCUCUUUACGACUGUCGAAAAAGUGAUGAAAUCAUCGCAGUCGAAUCAACUGAAAAUGCUCCAAGUACUUUUAGAGAGAGAAACCGCCGAUGCUAAACGAAAAUUACAAGCUACAAGACAAGGCGAGGUCAAACAAUUGGCCAAAGUACACAAGGAUAAAGCCGAGUUGGAACGCAUAAAACGAGAAGUUGCAAAAUCGACGGUAGAGAAAGCUGUGAAUGAAUGCACACGCUUAACGAAAAUUUUCGACAAGAAAAAAACAGAAUUGGAAAGGCAACAUGAAGAAGUACGACAAAGGCUGGAAGAAGAGCGAGCUAAGGUAAAAGCUAAUUUGCUAGCAGAGUAUAGUAGCCGCUAUAGUAAAUAUGAAAGUGGUGAAUUACCCUUGUCACCAUCUGGCGGAGCUAGCUUACCUGAGUCACUUAGCGAGAAUACGUAUUGACUCGCGAAACGAGUUGUCUAGCUAUGUGUUGACUAAAGGUGUGACAUCGUUUUAUGAUGUUUUACGUCAUUAUACGCGUCGUUUAAAGCAUCCAGUUAUGCAACUUGGUAUAUCGAACGUGCAGUUUCUAAUGAGAUAUGUGGAAGAAAGAAAACGGAUAUUAUAUUUGAAUGCAAUAUUUCUCCGACAUUCAUAUAAGGAAAUGAACCAAUAAUGACUAACAAAAUGUUGGCAUAUAGUGCUUAUCUAUAGCUGUUCAUGGUGAUGACUCUUGCCAUACUUUAUUGGAGAUGUCAAUAUGAUGACGUCAAGAAAUCACGUAAUUUGAGGCAGCUUGGUGCUGUACAAAGCACGAUAAGUAAUUACUAUACAUACAUACAUAUACAUAUAUAUGUAUAUGUACACACACAAACACACGUAUAUAUACACACACACACACACACACACAUACAUACACUGAACUUUUACCAUUUAAUAUUUUGAAGAGAUUAAAUGUCGAAUAAUGGAUUGAAGUAAUUUUCUAGUACUUCAAUUGCUGUGUCUUUUACUACAAUGGUCAUUAUUCGAUUGACAUGUUGAUUGUACAUGUUGAUCAAUUCUUUAAUUGAUCGUGUUUGGCUAGGACGUGGAAACUCUGUCAUGAUCUCUUUAUCAUAAAACGUCUGCUUAUAGUAAUACGAGAAAGAGACAAUGUUAAACUUCAAUAUACAUGACGAAUAUGAAUUUCGCAUUAUUUGCGCACAGUAUUAAGCAGUCUGAGAGAUUCCAAAAUCUAAGACGAUCGCUGACGUGAUACAGUCAGUUACAUAUUCAUAUGAUCUUAACGAGCAUUAAGACCGCGACAGAAAAAUAUAUAUAUGUAUAUAUAUAUAUAUACAUAUAUAUAAUUCGAGAAGAAAGGGAAAAAGAAUAUACAACCUUCCUAAGUGCUAACAUUUAAUAUUGUUGUUAUAUGCAUAAGUCAUCGUUAUUUAAUCAACUACAUAUAAAUUAAGUCUAAUCGCGUUCCAAGAUGCUCCGUUUAGAUUGAUCUUCGACUAUUAAGAAGUCAGAUCUCAGGAGAUUCCAGUCAGAAUAACGCAAGAGGUAGAUAUACCGAGAGUGAAAUCUCUUUGGCCUAGUAAAGAAAAAUUUGACAAAUUUGCACGAACGCGCGAGUGAUCUGAUAUAUUUUUGACUGAAAGUACUCCAUAUAUAAACUUUUUUUUUGGGAGAGGGGAUGCCCAAAUACUGCGGCAAAAAUCGUGAUAUUUUCCUGCCGAAGGCACGAGAAUUACCCAGUAUCUCGUUACAAUAGGAUCCGGAAAACUGGUUAUUCUCUGCAUAUACAUAUUUUCAAUAUUCUAUUAUCGCGACAUGAUCAUAAACAUAAAAAUAGACUCAGCAUUGACUAUGCAUAUAUUUAUGAAGAAGAGAAAAUUAUAUGGAUUAUUUUUUUGUCUAGACAGAUUGGAUUCAUAAUUAUUUUUUUAUAGAAAAUGCAUAACUGAGUCUUUUUUUUUUUAUAAACGGUGCUUCCAUCUCGUAGAGUAAUCUCGCGCAUAUUAACAUCCAAAUUGUUUCUCUUUUUUGUUCAUUCAAACAUCUAUGGCGGAUCACGUGACAGCGCGCGCAAUCGCACUUGACCGAAAAUCGUUUGACAGUACAUUCGGCUACGUUCGCGCCAGUAAACGGCGUCUUUAGCAAUUUCGCGCGCGACGGAAUUAACAUUUUUCUCUUUCUUUUUCACAAGUUUUCGAUAUCGCUAACCGGAUUCUACUGUAUGUAGACGGAUUCUUCGUAUCACGAGCAGUCCGGUCGGGCGAACCUCUUUGAGGAAGACAAUCAAAAAUGUUACGAGACAAUAGUGCGCAUCCCUUAAAAGAAUGAUGGGUCCUGAAGUUAUAUCCCGUGCACCUCCCUCUGAUGUAAUGAUAUUUGGUUUGCUGUAGAUGUGUAUACAAGGUAUGGCAUUUGGUUCUCAUUUAAAUAAUCGUAAUAUCGCGUUUUUUUUUCUUUUUUUUAGAGAGUAGCUACAUACACAUAUGUACAUAUAUUUCCGAUAAAUUAGAGAUUCACGUAAAAACAUAUACAUACAUACGCGUGCGCGCGCGCGCGCGAGGAACCAGAGAGAGAACGCAGUUACCGUUUCUUAGACGAUGCCAAUUAUCGCGAUAGCAUUUCUUCCGCGAACGAAGUUACCGUUCGCGAAGUUGUAGGAUGUUCCGUGGCGGACGCGACUGAUUUUAUCCGGUCACGGUGGUUGACGGUAGAGAUAGUCGUAUACCUAACGAUAUAAUACAGACGCGAUAUUUAAGGCAACGUAUGUGUAACUCUAUCCAGGGACUAUACCUGGAACCUAUGUGAGGAAAUCGAUAGCGUCGUUCGUAUACUGUGUUAAUCGUAUGCGUGCGUGUAAGUGUCGAUGUUUUGCGAGAUUCGACAGAUUGCCAUGUUGCAUCAAGUAUUGUACGCAUCCUUCGCGACAUCAAGGGGAUGGUACUAUAUAAUAGAGGAAAUCGAUUAAAAUAACAUAUGCAAAUUCUACUCGGUAUACUACAUUCUAUCUGAUUUAUGAUUUUUCCCUGCAUAGUGAUAUUUAUUUCAAGUGUUAGUUUAUUAUACAUUUUAUUAUAAAUGUUUCGUCUUUCGAGGGAAAGCUCCUCCUUAUUUUAAUGUAACACAUUUACAUUGCGAAAGUACCCCGCGUGUUCUAGGACUUGCGAUAUAUUAUUAACAGAGAAUCUUGAUUUCUAUAUCUUUCAUAACGAAGCGCAUAAACUUUUAGAAUAUAUUUUGAUUAAUUAAACCAUGAGAUAUAUAUAUAUAUAUAUUUCAUUGGAAAGGAUAUUGAUAAUAGAGAUAAUUGGGAUAUAAGCGAUAAGAAAGUGAGCGAGUAGAAAUGGUACUUCCAAGUAUAUAUAUUAUACGGUUUGCUUUUCUUUUAUGUUCUCUAAGUAUAGUAUUUAUUCGAAUUUUGAGCUUUGUUAUCUCCGUUGCUUAAUUGAGAAAUUGGAAGAUUUUUGUUCCCUGCUAUUUUGAUACACGGCAAAAAUCUGAAUAUUACAAGUGAUUGUAAAGUUCACUUUUUUCGUGCUAUUUUCUUUCGAAUUAUUCAGAUUUUGUGCUCAAAGGUGACUCAUUUUUCAAACUAGAUACAGUUAUUUACACCGUUUUUAUUUAAUUCCAAUUCCUCAAUUACAGUCGUUUCGCGGAUAGUAUGAUUUACCUGUGCAUUUAUGUCUUUCACUUAGAUCAGAUUACAAGUUUACUGUGUGUAUUUUGUCAGAGAUCUUUUUCCGAGUAUUAUAUACGGAUGAAUAUCGCAUACUUGCUUGGGACAUGUGAUCGACAUCAUGUUCUCUUCCUACAUUCGUGUAACGUACAUACAUACACGUGUAUGUAUGUUACACACGCAUAUGUACAUAAGUAUAGAUUUAUGCUAACGGGACAUAGAUAUUAUAUUCACGUUGAUAUAUUAUGUGUUGUUGCUGUUGAUGUUGUUAAUCGUAGGAUAUAGUCAUAAAGAUGAAAAUGGUAGCGCUAGCAUAAUCGUUGUUAAUAUAGCAACUACGGGGGAAGGGGAAGGGGAAAAAGAAAAAAAGAAACACAAAAGCUCUUUGCAUUAAUUACGACGAACACGUUCCGCGCGUGGAUUAUAAUUAAUCGCGCAAUUAAUUGUCGAUUUAUUUUCAGAUGCGUGCGUCGCAAUGUUACCAAUUUGUACCUGCGAUGUUAUCUGUCUUGACCGCUUUGGCGUCGAUUAACGUUAUUCUAGAUUGCUCGGAAUGAAGGAAUAUCCCAAUUCGAUGAUUACUUUUUAGCACGUCGACUCUUUAGAAUUCUACGAUGUGAUGUUUCACGCUAAGGUGGUUGAGUCUAACGACGAGUAUCUCCGAAGGUACUAUUCGAGCUGCUCGAGGUUUGCCAAAUAGAUAUUUAUAGAAGACGUUCGGCAUAUUGAAGAUCUCUGUAACGGACGUGUUUGUCGUUGUAGAGUAAACGUGUGAAGACGCGCGUAGGCGUAUUAUAUUAAACAUAAGGUAUGUGUAGUUUGAAACGGCCUACAAACGAUCGUAGUGAUUUGGCUCAGCUAUAUAUUAUUCUGUUGUUUCGAAAGUAUUGCACUCGUUGCACUUGCGAGGUUCAAAUUGGAGCGUCUAAACGUCCGCCGCUGUUACUUCUGUCGAAACUAAGCAUAAUGUUACUCAGCAGGCUUAUCUAAGGAUCUUUUGCUAUUUAUCUCUCUCUUUUUCUAUAUACACACAUAUAUAUAUAUAUAUAUAUCGCGUCCAUCCUUCGAGUUCUUCUAUAACGAGGACUUCCUUACAACGAUUCUUCGUACCUGACCGUAUUAUUGACCGUAUCUUGCGUCCUUCUUUGAUCCUCUCGAUCCCUUCUUUUUAACUCUCGCGAGCCUCUUUUAAAUAUUCUUGAAGAAAUGGCGGUCGAUUAGGCUGCACCGAUAUUAUGUAUGUAGAUAUUAGAAAUUUAUUGUUGCGCAACCGUGUGUUUCCGAAUUGUCUAUCAGUUUUAGCAGCGACAUUAUCGCCAAUUCUCAAUGAACCGACAAUGAAAUAGCGUAACUCGAUGUAUAUAAAAUGCAACGAUGAUAUUCUUGCGAAUCUAUUAAGUUUGCGUUAUUGAUCUGAAUUAGACGACUUUUUAUUCCGAUUAAUAAACGAUAGAGCAUCUUGAUUUAUUUGAUGCGAUUUAUAAAACGCGGAUGUUAAACGCACUUAAGUCUAGGUCGAGCUUAACGAUUCUGCAUCCGCUUCGUGAUCGAAGUCUCGAUUAUCGAGAUUGUAAUGUAACUAUAUCGUAGAGAUUUUGCGUUGUAGAUGGUUUACUCGCUAGAUGUAUCUAUAUGAGUGUGACUAUUCGUAAUAACGAAAAAAGGAGAAAGAUGUGCCAGGAAGAAAGGAAGGAGAUAGCAUGCGAGGGGGAGAAAACGAGCUCAUCGAGAUGAUUGUAAUUGUAAUAACGAUCGAUAAGGCGAAUAUACAAAUUGCCUGACGGUAUUGUACAUGCAGUAGAGUACGUAUAUGCAGAUGUAUACGUUAUCUACUUUAUGUAUCAGGGAUGUAAUUGCAUCCGUGCAAAUAAUUUUGUCUUCCCUCUUAACUUCCUUGCAGUAAUUCGAUUUAUCGCGGGAAUUUCAUUAUUCUUAGCGUUGCCGUCUCGAUGAUUGUAUUGUCCGAUCAUCUCAUCUACAUUGACUACUUAUCUUUGCAACGCAUCAUGCAACGUGACGGAUCUGAUUUAUAUAUGUCUCGAUUAUCUAUUAUUUGUAUUCUUUAUCGGCGAUUAGUUCCGUUUGUCAUCGGUCGCGUACUUCUGUUUUGUAAGCGACGAAAGAUUAUAAUAAUUUGUUGUGUUCA